rnacentral:rRNA from 1 species
AGUCGUACGGAAUUUACAUGAAGCCUAGCGAUUGUAAAUUUAGUGGCGGACGGGUGAGUAACGCGUGGGUAACCUGCCUUGUACUGGGGGACAACAGUUGGAAACGACUGCUAAUACCGCAUAAGCGCACAGCUUCGCAUGAAGCAGUGUGAAAAACUCCGGUGGUACAAGAUGGACCCGCGUCUGAUUAGCUGGUUGGUGAGGUAACGGCCCACCAAGGCGACGAUCAGUAGCCGGCCUGAGAGGGUGAACGGCCACAUUGGGACUGAGACACGGCCCAAACUCCUACGGGAGGCAGCAGUGGGGAAUAUUGCACAAUGGGGGAAACCCUGAUGCAGCAACGCCGCGUGAGUGAAGAAGUAUUUCGGUAUGUAAAGCUCUAUCAGCAGGAAAGAAAAUGACGGUACCUGACUAAGAAGCCCCGGCUAACUACGUGCCAGCAGCCGCGGUAAUACGUAGGGGGCAAGCGUUAUCCGGAUUUACUGGGUGUAAAGGGAGCGUAGGCGGUUUUGCAAGUCUGAAGUGAAAGCCCGGGGCUUAACCCCGGGACUGCUUUGGAAACUGUAGGACUAGAGUGCAGGAGAGGUAAGUGGAAUUCCUAGUGUAGCGGUGAAAUGCGUAGAUAUUAGGAGGAACACCAGUGGCGAAGGCGGCUUACUGGACUGUAAC